rnacentral:rRNA from 1 species
UGGGUGGGGGACAACCGUGGGAAACUACGGCUAAUACCGCAUGAUCCCUGAGGGGCAAAGGCGAAAGUCGCCUGAGGAGGAGCCUGCGUCUGAUUAGGUAGUUGGUGGGGUAAAGGCCUACCAAGCCUGCGAUCAGUAGCUGGUCUGAGAGGAUGAUCAGCCACACUGGGACUGAGACACGGCCCAGACUCCUACGGGAGGCAGCAGUGGGGAAUAUUGGACAAUGGGCGAAAGCCUGAUCCAGCAAUGCCGCGUGGAUGAAGAAGGUCUUCGGAUUGUAAAGUCCUUUUGGCGGGGACGAUGAUGACGGUACCCGCAGAAUAAGCUCCGGCUAACUUCGUGCCAGCAGCCGCGGUAAUACGAAGGGGGCUAGCGUUGCUCGGAAUGACUGGGCGUAAAGGGCGCGUAGGCGGACGGCACAGUCAGGCGUGAAAUUCCUGGGCUCAACCUGGGGACUGCGUCUGAGACGUGUUGUCUUGAGUAUGGAAGAGGGUUGUGGAAUUUCCAGUGUAGAGGUGAAAUUCGUAGAUAUUGGAAAGAACACCGGUGGCGAAGGCGGCAACCUGGUCCAUUACUGACGCUGAGGCGCG